UGGGGAAUAUUGCACAAUGGGGGAAACCCUGAUGCAGCGACGCCGCGUGAACGAAGAAGGUAUUCGUAUCGUAAAGUUCUGUCCUAUGGGAAGAUAAUGACAGUACCAUAGAAGAAAGCUCCGGCUAAAUAGGUGCCAGCAGCCGCGGUAAUACGUAUGGAGCGAGCGUUGUCCGGAAUUAUUGGGCGUAAAGGGUACGCAGGCGGUUUAAUAAGUCGAAUGUUAAAGAUCGGGGCUCAACCCCGCAAAGCAUUGGAAACUGAUAAACUUGAGUAGUGGAGAGGAAAGUGGAAUUCCUAGUGUAGUGGUGAAAUACGUAGAUAUUAGGAGGAAUACCAGUAGCGAAGGCGACUUUCUGGACACAAACUGACGCUGAGGUACGAAAGCGUGGGGAGCAAACAGG
rnacentral:rRNA from 1 species